rnacentral:rRNA from 1 species
CCUACAGGAGGCAGCAGUGGGGAAUAUUGCACAAUGGGGGGAACCCUGAUGCAGCGACGCCGCGUGAGUGAAGAAGUCUUUCGGUAUGUAAAGCUCUAUCAGCAGGGAAGAAAAUGACGGUACCUGACUAAUAAGCCCCGGCUAACACCGUGCCAGCAGCCGCGGUAUUACGUAGGGGGCAAGCGUUAUCCGGAUUUACUGGGUGUAAAGGGAGCGUAGACGGUUAUGCCAGGCUGAAGUGAAAGCCCCAGGCUCAACCAUGGGACUGCUUUGGAAACUGGAAAACUGGAGUGCAGGAGAGGUAAGCGGAAUUCCUAGUGUAGCGGUGAAAUGCGUAGAUAUUAGGAGGAACACCAGGGGCGAAGGCGGCUUACUGGACUGUAACUGACGUUGAGGCUCGAAGGCGUGGGGAGCAAACAGGAUUAGAUACCCCGGUAGUC